GAUGAACGCUGGCGGCGUGCCUAAUACAUGCAAGUCGAGCGAACAGACGAGGAGCUUGCUCUUCUGACGUUAGCGGCGGACGGGUGAGUAACACGUGGAUAACCUACCUAUAAGACUGGGAUAACUUCGGGAAACCGGAGCUAAUACCGGAUAAUAUAUUGAACCGCAUGGUUCAAUAGUGAAAGACGGUUUUGCUGUCACUUAUAGAUGGAUCCGCGCCGCAUUAGCUAGUUGGUAAGGUAACGGCUUACCAAGGCGACGAUGCGUAGCCGACCUGAGAGGGUGAUCGGCCACACUGGAACUGAGACACGGUCCAGACUCCUACGGGAGGCAGCAGUAGGGAAUCUUCCGCAAUGGGCGAAAGCCUGACGGAGCAACGCCGCGUGAGUGAUGAAGGUCUUCGGAUCGUAAAACUCUGUUAUUAGGGAAGAACAAAUGUGUAAGUAACUAUGCACGUCUUGACGGUACCUAAUCAGAAAGCCACGGCUAAUUACGUG
rnacentral:rRNA from 1 species